GACGUAGGGCGCGAGCGUUUGUCCGGAUUUAUUGGGCGUAAAGAGCUCGUAGGCGGCUUGUUGCGUCGACCGUGAAAACCCGGGGCUCAACUUCGGGCUUGCGGUCGAUACGGGCGGGCUAGAGUUCGGUAGGGGAGACUGGAAUUCCUGGUGGUAGCGGUGAAAUGCGCAGAUAUCAGGAGGAACACCGGUGGCGAAGGCGGGUCUCUGGGCCGAUACUGACGCUGAGGAGCGAAAGCGUGGGGAGCGAACAGG
rnacentral:rRNA from 1 species